rnacentral:tRNA from 1 species
GGUCGGGUAGCUCAGUUGGAAGAGCACUCGCCUGAAAAGCGAGGGGUCCCCGGAUCGACGCCGGGCCCGACCACCU